GUUUAAAGGAGGACGCUCAUUAUACUUCAGCUUUCAAAGGACGAGUCCUACCUAGCAUGCAGCCUUCGAAACAAAACACAGCUUAUAUAAAUCGUUGGUGUACGUUGCCUAGAUGAAUGCAGUGAGCUGGUCGGUGACAUAAUGUUCCUGGCAGCAAAGUUUACUCCACAAAGAAAAGUGGUCCAGAAAUUGUGUGAAAAUGAGGAUGUCCAUGAUGCAAUUUCCAAAACUGAAGCCUGCAGGAAGACCUUACAAACACUUCUGGUGACUUUAGGGAGAAACUGGGAGACAUUUGAACAGGCAACCCAUGGGCUUGGGCCUGGUUUAAUGGUGG